GACGAACGCUGGCGGCGUGCUUAACACAUGCAAGUCGAGCGGUAAGGCCCUUUCGGGGUACACGAGCGGCGAACGGGUGAGUAACACGUGGGUGACCUGCCCUUAGCUCUGGGAUAAGCCUGGGAAACUGGGUCUAAUACCGGAUAUGACUCCAUAACGCAUGUUGUGGGGUGGAAAGCCUUGUGCGGCUAGGGAUGGGCCCGCGGCCUAUCAGCUUGUUGGUGGGGUGAUGGCCACCAAGGCGACGACGGGUAGCCGGCCUGAGAGGGCGACCGGCCACACUGGGACUGAGACACGGCCCAGACUCCUACGGGAGGCAGCAGGUGGGGAAUCUUGCGCAAUGGGCGAAAGCCUGACGCAGCGACGCCGCGUGGGGA
rnacentral:rRNA from 1 species